rnacentral:rRNA from 1 species
UAGACCUCGGAUCAGGUAGGGAUACCCGCUGAACUUAAGCAUAUCAAUAAGCGGAGGAAAAGAAACCAACAGGGAUUGCCUCAGUAACGGCGAGUGAAGCGGCAGUAGCUCAAAUUUGAAAUCUGACCCCUCUGGGGCCUGAGUUGUAAUUUGUAGAGGAUGCUCCAGGUAUGGUUCCGGUCUAAGGUCCUUGGAACAGGACAUCAUAGAGGGUGAGAAUCCCGUAUGUGACCGAUGACCCCGCCUAUGUGGAGCUCCUUCGACGAGUCGAGUUGUUUGGGAAUGCAGCUCUAAGUGGGUGGUAAAUUUCAUCUAAAGCUAAACAUUGGCUGGAGACCGAUAGCGCACAAGUAGAGUGAUCGAAAGAUGAAAAGCACUUUGGAAAGAGAGUUAAAAAGUACGUGAAAUUGUUGAAAGGGAAGCGCUGGCAAUCAGACUUGCCCCCAGGGGACCAGCCGCUAUUCUUAACGGUGUACGUCCCUGGAGGCAGGCCAGCACCGGUCCUGGUGGCUGGAUAAACCCCCUGGGAAUGUAGCUCCCUCUGGGGAGUGUUAUAGCCUGGAGGAUCAUGCAGCCCACCGGGACCGAGGAUCGUGCUUUGGCUUGGAUGCUGGCGCAAUGGUUGUCAGCGGCCCGUCUUGAAACACGGACCAAGGAGUCUUCCGUGCAUGCGAGUGUUUGGGUGUCAAACCCACACGCGGAAUGAAAGUGAACGGAGGUGGGAACCCGUCAGGGCGCACCAUCGACCGAUCCAGAUGUCUUCGGAUGGAUUUGAGUAAGAGCAUGCCCGGAGGGACCCGAAAGAUGGUGAACUAUGCCUGGAUAGGGUGAAGCCAGAGGAAACUCUGGUGGAGGCUCGCAGCGGUUCUGACGUGCAAAUCGAUCGUCAAAUUUGGGCAUAGGGGCGAAAGACUAAUCGAACCAUCUAGUAGCUGGUUCACGUCGAAGUUUCCCUCAGGAUAGCAGUAACGUUUUCAGUUUUAUGAGGUAAAGCGAAUGAUUAGAGGCCUUGGGGCUGAAA